GAUGAAGAACGCAGCGAAAUGCGAUAAGUAAUGUGAAUUGCAGAAUUCAGUGAAUCAUCGAAUCUUUGAACGCACAUUGCGCCCGCCAGAAUUCUGGCGGGCAUGCCUGUUCGAGCGUCAUUUCAACCCUCGGUCUCCCUCCGGGAGAGACCGGCGUUGGGGACCGGCACUUACCCCGCCGGCCCCGAAAUGAAGUGGCGGCCCGUCCGCGGCGACCUCUGCGUAGUAACUCCACUCGCACCGGGACCCGGGCGCGGCCACGCCGUAAAACCCCCAACUUCCGAAUGUUGACCUCGAAUCAGGUAGGAAUACCCGCUGAACUUAAGCAUAUCAAUAAGCGGAGA
rnacentral:misc_RNA from 1 species